rnacentral:rRNA from 1 species
AUGGAGUUGACCCCGUGCGAGAAGUUCUUGCUAUCCGAUUCGUCCGAUUCGGACGACUCGGAUGUGGAGACCAUGCUUGCGAACUUUCGGCAGCAAACAUUGGUCAUGGCGCUUGCCGUGAAGGAGCAUGAAGACGAGUACCGAAAGAGGGGGCGAGGAUCUACUGUCGGGCGUCUGUGCAUUCCGCGGAAUCGCCAUCUUGGAAACGAGAUGUUGAUGCAAGAUUAUUUUUCGGAGAAUCCUACAUAUCCUGCACACCUCUUCCACAGAAGGUACCGAAUGCGCCGAUCCCUUUUUGUGAAAAUUGUUGAAGCUUGCGAGGCAAAUUGCCGGUAUUUCACUCAGAGAAGGAAUGCCGCGGGCUUAAAGGGAUUUAGUGCAUAUCAAAAAAUCUCCGCAGCUAUGCGGGUGAUUGCAUAUUGCGUUCCGGCUGACUAUGCCGAUGAGUAUCUUCGCAUUGGUGAAGAUAGCACAAUUGAGUCUGUGCGUAGAUUUGCGAAAGUGAUCGUCCGUGUCUUUGGUCCCGAGUAUCUUCGGGCACCAAAUGAAGAUGACACAAAGAAAUUGAUGGCAGCUAAUGAGAGGAGAGGUUGGCCUUGGAUGCUAGGUAGCAUUGAUUGUAUGCAUUGGAAUUGGAAAAAUUGCCCCAAGGCUUGGCAAGGAAUGUAUUGUGGCAAGUCUCGUGAUGCAACAAUUGUGCUAGAGGCCGUAGCAUCCGAGGAUUUAUGGAUUUGGCAUUGCUUUUUUGGUAUGCCCGGCACACUCAAUGAUAUCAAUGUGUUGCAACGCUCUCAUUUGUUUGCUAGGCUUGCUAGUGGUGAUGCUCCUGCUUGCAACUACACUAUCAAUGGGCAUGAAUACACAAAGGGGUACUAUCUAGCAGAUGGUAUAUAUCCUCCUUGGUGCACAUUUGUCAAGAGCAUCAAAGAACCCAAAACAAAAAAACAAUGUGAAUUUGCAAGGGUGCAAGAGGCAGCCCGAAAAGACAUUGAAAGAGCAUUCGGUGUUUUGCAAUCUAGGUUUGCCAUUGUCCGAGGUCCUGCUCGUUUUUGGGAUAAGAAAACCCUGAAGAACAUCAUGACUUGCUGUGUUAUCCUGCACAAUAUGAUUCUUGAAGAUGAGAGAGGAAUGGACUUAGAAUUCUUUUACGAUAAUGUGGGUAGCCGUGUCAAACUAGCUAGAGACCCAAACCGCAUUAGAGCUUUUCUUCAGACAUACAAGGAGAUUGAAAAUGCAGACACACACUUUCAACUUCAGGAAGAUCUCAUUGAGCACCAUUGGCAAAGGGCUGGACAGUGA